rnacentral:rRNA from 1 species
UGCCAGACUCAUACGGGAGGCAGCAGUGGGGAAUAUUGCACAAUGGGGGAAACCCUGAUGCAGCGACGCCGCGUGAGUGAAGAAGUAAUUCGUUAUGUAAAGCUCUAUCAGCAGGGAAGAAAAUGACGGUACCUGAGUAAGAAGCCCCGGCUAACUACGUGCCAGCAGCCGCGGUAAUACGUAGGGGGCAAGCGUUAUCCGGAUUUACUGGGUGUAAAGGGAGCGUAGACGGCAGCGCAAGUCUGGAGUGAAAGGCGGGGGCUCAAACCCCGGACUGCUCUGGAAACUGUACGGCUGGAGUGCAGGAGAGGUAAGUGGAAUUCCUAGUGUAGCGGUGAAAUGCGUAGAUAUUAGGGGGAACACCAGUGGCGAAGGCGGCCUGCUGGACGACAACUGACGGUGAGGCGCGAAAGCGUGGGGAGCAAACAGGAUUAGAUACCCGAGUACA